rnacentral:rRNA from 1 species
CCUACGGGAGGCAGCAGUGAGGAAUAUUGGUCAAUGGGCUUACGCCUGAACCAGCCAAGUCGCGUGAGGGAAGACUGCCCUAUGGGUUGUAAACCUCUUUUGUCAGGGAGCAACGCCGGCUACGUGUAGCCGGACUGAGAGUACCUGAAGAAAAAGCAUCGGCUACCUCCGUGCCAGCAGCCGCGGAAAUACGGAGUCUGCGAGUGUUAUCCGGAUUGAUUGGGUUUAAAGGGUGCGUAGGCGGAAUGCGAAGUCAUCGGUAAAAUCGCGGGGCGCAACCUAGCUUCGCCGUUGAAACUGGCGUUCUUGAGUGGGCGAGAGGUAUGCGGAAUGCGUGGUGUAGCGGUGAAAUGCUGAGAUAUCACGAAGAACUCCGAGUGCGAAGGCAGCAUACCGGCGCCCAACUGACGCUGAAGCACGAAAGCGUGGGUAUCGAACAGGAUUAGAUACCCGUGUAGUC